rnacentral:rRNA from 1 species
AUUGAACGCUGGCGGCAGGCCUAACACAUGCAAGUCGAACGGUAACAGGAAACAGCUUGCUGUUUCGCUGACGAGUGGCGGACGGGUGAGUAAUGUCUGGGAAACUGCCUGAUGGAGGGGGAUAACUACUGGAAACGGUAGCUAAUACCGCAUAACGUCGCAAGACCAAAGAGGGGGACCUUCGGGCCUCUUGCCAUCGGAUGUGCCCAGAUGGGAUUAGCUAGUAGGUGGGGUAACGGCUCACCUAGGCGACGAUCCCUAGCUGGUCUGAGAGGAUGACCAGCCACACUGGAACUGAGACACGGUCCAGACUCCUACGGGAGGCAGCAGUGGGAAAUAUUGCACAAUGGGCGCAAGCCUGAUGCAGCCAUGCCGCGUGUAUGAAGAAGGCCUUCGGGUUGUAAAGUACUUUCAGCGGGGAGGAAGGGAGUAAAGUUAAUACCUUUGCUCAUGGACGUUACCCGCAGAAGAAGCACCGGCUAACUCCGU